UACCAGCACCCCGAGUGGUCGGGACGAUUAUUGGGCCUAAAGCAUCCGUAGCCGGUUCUGCAAGUCCUCCGUUAAAUCCAGCUGCUCAACAGAUGGGCCGCGGAGGAUACUACAGAGCUAGGAGGCAGGAGAGGCAAGCGGUACUCAGUGGGUAGGGGUAAAAUCCGUUGAUCCAUUGAAGCCCACCAGUGGCGAAGGCGGCUUGCCAGAAUGCGCUCGACGGUGAGGGAUGAAAGCUGGGGGAGCAAACCGG
rnacentral:rRNA from 1 species